GACGAACGCUGGCGGCGUGCUUAACACAUGCAAGUCGAACGAUGAAGCCCAGCUUGCUGGGUGGAUUAGUGGCGAACGGGUGAGUAACACGUGGGCAACCUGCCCCAAACUCUGGGAUAACUCCUCGAAAGAGGUGCUAAUACCGGAUACGAACUAGACAGACAUCUGUACUAGUUGGAAAGUUUUUCGGUUUGGGAUGGGCCCGCGGCCUAUCAGCUUGUUGGUGAGGUAACGGCUCACCAAGGCUACGACGGGUAACCGGCCUGAGAGGGCGACCGGUCACACUGGGACUGAGAACCGGCCCAGAAGCCUACGGGAGGCAGCAGUGGGGAAUAUUGGGCAAUGGGCGAAAGCCUGACGCAGCGACGCCGCGUGAGGGAUGAAGGUCUUCGGAUCGUAAACCUCUUUCAGUAGGGACGAAGCGAAAGUGACGGUACCUAAAGAAGAAGCACCGGCUAACUACGUGCCAGCCGCCGCAGUAA
rnacentral:rRNA from 1 species